rnacentral:rRNA from 1 species
AGUAUUUUAAUUAUAUUUAUUUUUAUUUUUUAGUAUUUAUUAAUAUAAAUAAAUUUAAUUUUUUUUAGUUUAUGUAUUUUUUAGAAAAAAUAUUUUAUAUUAUAGUUUAUUAGUAUUGUGAAAUAAUUUUGAAAUAAUUAUUUUAAUAUAAUAAUUAGUUAAAAGUAAAUUUAAUUUAUUUUACCUUGUGCAUCAGGGUUUAUUAAAUAAAAAAUAAAAAUUUUAUUUUUCUCGAAUUUAAAAGAUCUAAUUUUUUAUAAUUUUUAAUGUGGCAUAAUUAUUUUAAAUUAAUAAUUAGUAAUGAAAUGUUAUUCGUUUUUAAAGAUAUCUAGUUUUUUAAUAAAUAAAUUUAAUUUAUAUAUUAAAUUUUAAAUAAUUAAUUUUUUAUUUUUUAUUUAAUUUAAUAUARAUAUCUUAAGGGAUAAGCUUUAAGAUAAAUUUUUAUAAUUUUAAUUUUUUAAAAAAAAUGAUUUUGGCUUAGAAAUAGUUUUAAUUAAAUAAAUGUUAAAAUUUUAUUUUUUAUUUAAUUUAUUUAUAUUUUAAUUUAAUAAUUUAUUAAAAUUUUUGAUUUAAUUUAUAAAUUAAAUUAAUUAUGAUAAAAUUAGUAAAUUUGAAAAAAUGUAUAUUAUUAAAAUUUUAUUUUUGGUUAAUUAAAGGAAUUCGGCAAAUUUUUAAUUAUCCGCCUGUUUAACAAAAACAUCGUUUUUUGAAUUUAAUUUAAAAUAUGAUCUGCUCAAUGAAUAAUUUAUUUUUUAAAUAGCCGCAGUAUUUUGACUGUGCAAAGGUAGCAUAAUAAUUUGUCUUUUAAUUAAAGGCUAGUAUGAAUGAUUGGACGAGAUAAAAUCUGUCUCUAAUUAAUUUUUAUUUGAAUUUAAUUUUUAAGUUAAAAAGCUUAAAUUUUUUUAAAGGACGAGAAGACCCUAUAGAGUUUUAUAAUAAAUUUUAUUAUUUAAUUUUUAAUUUUUUUAAUAAUAAAUUUAUUAUUUUAUUGGGGUGAUAGGAAUAUUAAUAGAACUUUUUUAAUUUUUUUACAUUUAUUUAUGAAUUUUUGAUCCUAUGUUUUAGAUUAAUAGAUUAAAUUACCUUAGGGAUAACAGCGUAAUUUUUUUUAGAGUUCUUAUCGAAAAAGAAGAUUGCGACCUCGAUGUUGGAUUAAAAUUUAAUUUUGAUGCAGGAGUUGAAAAGUUUAGGUCUGUUCGACCUUUAAAAUUUUACAUGAUCUGAGUUCAAACCGGUGUAAGCCAGGUUGGUUUCUAUCCUUAAAUUUAGUAAAAAUUUUUAGUACGAAAGGAUUAAAAUUUUAAAUUAAAUUUAUAAAAUAUUUAUAUUAAUGAAUUUUAUUAAUUAAUUUUAGUUAUU